rnacentral:rRNA from 1 species
GCAGUCGAGCGGUAACAUUUCUAGCUUGCUAGAAGAUGACGAGCGGCGGACGGGUGAGUAAUGCUUGGGAACAUGCCUUUAGGUGGGGGACAACCAUUGGAAACGAUGGCUAAUACCGCAUAAUGUCUACGGACCAAAGGGGGCUUCGGCUCUCGCCUUUAGAUUGGCCCAAGUGGGAUUAGCUAGUUGGUGAGGUAAUGGCUCACCAAGGCGACGAUCCCUAGCUGGUUUGAGAGGAUGAUCAGCCACACUGGAACUGAGACACGGUCCAGACUCCUACGGGAGGCAGCAGUGGGGAAUAUUGCACAAUGGGCGCAAGCCUGAUGCAGCCAUGCCGCGUGUGUGAAGAAGGCCUUCGGGUUGUAAAGCACUUUCAGUUGUGAGGAAAGGUUAGUAGUUAAUACCUGCUAGCUGUGACGUUAGCAACAGAAGAAGCACCGGCUAACUCCGUGCCAGCAGCCGCGGUAAUACGGAGGGUGCGAGCGUUAAUCGGAAUUACUGGGCGUAAAGCGUACGCAGGCGGUUUGUUAAGCGAGAUGUGAAAGCCCCGGGCUCAACCUGGGAACUGCAUUUCGAACUGGCAAACUAGAGUGUGAUAGAGGGUGGUAGAAUUUCAGGUGUAGCGGUGAAAUGCGUAGAGAUCUGAAGGAAUACCGAUGGCGAAGGCAGCCACCUGGGUCAACACUGACGCUCAUGUACGAAAGCGUGGGGAGCAAACGGGAUUAGAUACCCCGGUAGUCCACGCCGUAAACGAUGUCUACUAGGAGUUCGGUUUUUCGGAACUGUCUUCCAAAGCUAACGCAUUAAGUAGACCGCCUGGGGAGUACGGCCGCAAGGUUAAAACUCAAAUGAAUUGACGGGGGCCCGCACAAGCGGUGGAGCAUGUGGUUUAAUUCGAUGCAACGCGAAGAACCUUACCUACACUUGACAUCCAGAGAACUUACUAGAGAUAGUUUGGUGCCUUCGGGAACUCUGAGACAGGUGCUGCAUGGCUGUCGUCAGCUCGUGUUGUGAGAUGUUGGGUUAAGUCCCGCAACGAGCGCAACCCCUAUCCUUAGUUGCCAGCGAUUCGGUCGGGAACUCUAAGGAAACUGCCGGUGAUAAACCGGAAGAAGGUGG